ACCCGCCGUUUGCGUACUUAUCUCGCAGGCACAGAGCGUGCCGCCGCGCUUUCUUUGUUUAUUUGCGAGAGAAAAAGUUGGAUCACAAGCUGUGUUGUUUCUUGACAUCUGAUUGGCAUGAAUAUGCCUGUAAGAAAAUACUAGCAGAAGGAAGCUAGCGUGGACUGAUGCAGGCUUCUCGAUUUUGUUUUUUCUUUCCUGCUGAAAAUAAAUUUAUGCAGCACAUUUCAUUAGUUGCAUCACCUUCCUGCGAGCGCAUAUAUGUUGCUCACACGAACACUUUGUUACUGCUUUACAGUGACGCAAGUAAUGAAGCGGUGGAAAUCUCUACGCGACACUUUCAUGAAAAAACGCAAAGAAGUGACAACAACGAAAAGUGGCGCCGGCGCGGACAGUGUUUUCAGUGUGCGGUGGCCGCAUUACAACCAACUACUGUUUCUCCUUGACACAAUGGAAUAUCCUGAGACAAGCGGGAACCUCGUGGAUAUUCAAGACAUCGACUCAUUCGACGAAACAAGCACCGCAUAUCUUCAGACUGAAAGAACUGGCAUCAUAGACAUUGAAGCCAAUCUGGUUGCUAGCAACUUUCCUACCUCCCCUGGGCAGGAAGAUGGGAGUGGAUGCUCCAGCCCCACGUCAGCGCCAUCACCAGCCAGCAGCGCAUCAUCUGGUCCACAGAAAAGGAAACGGGGCCAUGACAAGGUCUUUGAAAAAGAAAUAGGAAUCCUGGGAGAAUGGGCUUCUAAACGAGCCGACGCUUCUGAACUAUUCGGGCUUUUUAUAGGGGACAAGCACAGACGAGUCCCCCAACAUCUGCGAGGACAAUUUGAGUUGGAACUACUGCAAGUUGCUGCUCGUUAUGUGGACAAUCAGUAAAGCUGUCAGUGAAUAACGGGAAGUUGUCAGUCUCUUUUGAAAAAGGAAGUUUGGCAAACAGUGAAAAAUAAAUUAGUUAAAGAAACAUUUA
rnacentral:lncRNA from 1 species